AGCAGUAGAGCUCCUCAGAGCAGGUGCAUGAGGGUGGUGCCUGCAAAGAGCCAGAGAGCACCCCCACUGAAGAGGCCACCAGAGGACUUCCAGGAAGUGAGUGGAAUGAAAGGAUUUGAAAAAAAUUACAUUAGUGGAUUAUAUUCUAAAUUCAGGGCCUUGCCACCAGCAUCUGCCAAGUUUUAGAUCCAUGUUUAAAGUAUUUUCUUCGACUGAUUCCACUCAUGUUGAAAUAGGAUUAGUACUGUCAGUUUUCUUUUACCCGCCUCAUAGAACACUGUUCAGAAUAGUUGGUAUCUGUGAAAAAGUUCAAGGAGGUAGAUAAAAAUAGCUAUCCAUCUAUCUACUUUUCUCUUCAAUCCAAUGGAUAUGUACAGACAUCCUGAAGAAUCAACUGGAAGCUAGAAAUCCUUCUUCAAGGAUUGUAGUCUAGCUGGAGAGAUAAGGCCAGGAAUUGAGGAGCAGCUUAACUGGGUGAAUCUGGCUCAAGAUGUCUGAGAAGUGCAGCUAUUGGCUGGAGCUGCAGUCUCAUUCAAAUGCUCAACCUGCUUCCACUCCCAAUCACAAGGGCUUCAGUUCCUUCCUGGAUGGCUGGGAGACCUCAGCCCCUUACCUAUCAAUAGUUUGUCUUACUGCUCUGCUGACAUGGCAGUUGACUUUCCUCUGGAAGAGUGAUCUAAGAGAAGGAACAGAAAAAAAGAGCGGUGAGUUGGCACUGUCUCUACGGAUGUGAGCAAGAACCAACUAAUGGGAUCCAGAAGCAGUUGUCAGGA